GACGAACUGUUCUGACGUUAUUCGGAAUCACUGGGCUUAAAGGGCGCGUAGGCUGUUUGUUAAGCGGGGUCUGAAAUCCCUCGGCUCAACCGAGGAACUGGGCUUCGAACUGGCAGACUAGAGUGAAGUAGGGGUAAGCGGAACUUGCGGUGGAGCGGUGAAAUGCUUUGAUAUCGCAAGGAACACCGGCGGCGAAGGCGGCUUACUGGGCUUCAACUGACGCUUAAGCGCGAAAGCUAGGGUAGCGAACGGGAUUAGAUACCCGGGUAGUCCCUGAGCGGGCUGG
rnacentral:rRNA from 1 species